rnacentral:rRNA from 1 species
CAGCCGCCGCGGUAAUACGAAGGGUGCAAGCGUUAAUCGGAAUUACUGGGCGUAAAGCGUGCGUAGGCGGUUUGUUAAGUCUGUUGUGAAAUCCCCGGGCUCAACCUGGGAAUGGCAAUGGAUACUGGCAAGCUAGAGUGUGUCAGAGGAUGGUGGAAUUCCCGGUGUAGCGGUGAAAUGCGUAGAGAUCGGGAGGAACAUCAGUGGCGAAGGCGGCCAUCUGGGACAACACUGACGCUGAGGCACGAAAGCGUGGGGAGCAAACAGGAUUAGAUACCCGAGUAGUCCCUGUCUCUUAUAU